UCUUGGACAUAAAAUUUUAACAUUGACUUUCAUUACAGGACAAGUUUUUAUUCUUUAUUUCUGAAAGUAAUUUAAUCUUACUUGAAGAGUGCUUUUAUAGUGAGAAAAGGGUAAAAAGAUUUCUGCUUAAUGGCAGAUAGUGAUUUCCUCUCGGACAAAUUUCUAGCUUCCUUUGAUCCAGCCAAUCUUAGGAUAUUCUUAUAUUAAAAUGCAUUAACUUUUAUAUAUUUCAGUGCAACGUGUUCCAGUUUUAAGCUUUGUCCCAUGCAAAGCCUGCAGCUUAAACAGAAAACUCUCUCAAGUUGCCAGAAACUCCUUAACUGCACUAUGAAAACAAGAAUUUAAUUUGUUUUUAAACUCCUGAAGGACUGCCUGUUGUGUACAUUUGGAAUAACUAACUUCUGUUUCUCUGUAAGCUGGGAUUGACUGGAGUCUUUAGAUAAAAUUGUUUUGCCCAACUUCUGAGGUAAGUAUCCUGUAUCAACAAAUACCAUGCUCCAGGAAGAGUCACUGUAGAAAAGGUUCUCACUAUGGAGCCACUCUGCAGUAUCUAUAUUUAGUUAUAAAAGCUUGCUGCAAAUGAAUAGUGCUAUAGAAAUGUGAAAUAUAAAUAAUCAUCAUAAUUAAUGGGCUGUGUUCUUGCUGCAGCUCUCAGUUUAAAAGCUUAUCACAGCUUGGGUAUUUCUCUAUCCUACAUUUUCCUCUGUUAUUUCUUAACUGCUCUAGUAAAGUGAUCUGAGUUUGACUGUUCAGGACUGAGAUAUUUUCUCACCAAACAUAUUUAAAAGGAAAAAAAUCAAAACAUUUUGAUUAAAUCUAUUAUCAUUUUUUUAAGUCAUUUGCUUUAUGUGAACUGUUCCUUAGCCAUUUUCAAAAACCCUUUUUAUAUUGAGUACAGGAUUUCCCCCUCUCCCUCCCUUCUAAUAGAGAGGGAAACUGAGGUAGACUGAAGGGAGUAUCUACAAUUUUUGAGAGGCAGUACAAAUUUGGAAACAAAGUACAAAGAAGGUCCAAUUUUCAGAGCUUUUCGAACUUGUAGCAGUUAUUCAACUAUAUAGAAGUUUUUUAAUAUUAUGGACAACUUGAAUUAAUGUUCUUUCAAACCUGCUUAUCUGCCUGAGUAUGGACAAGAGCAGCCAUGAGUGGUUUAAUUCUGCUGAGCUGGAAUUCACGGCAUUGAAGGUACACUCAUCACAGCAGUCUGCACCCGUGUGCUCAGAGACAGGGAGCUGGGACAAUGACUUUGUCAGAUUGGCUGGAUCAGAUAUAUCACGGGUGGUGUCAAAACUUGGCACAAGUAGCUGAGAUUCUGAGAUUUCUAACCCUUUCUGAGUCCCUGAGAUUUCUUCUGCUGCUCCUUCAGUCCACUCAGGAGAUCCAAACUUCUACCAAGAUUUCAAACUGCAGGAAACCGUGGAAGAACAGAAUAAGAACAGGAGCCCCAUCCUGGAACUUUUAGUAACCAUACCCCAUCACAGUGAUGCCUUAAGUGUUUAGAUUUUGUAUUUAUUUUAUAUUUAUGUCUUCACACUUUGGUCAGACAAAACAAUCCAGGCCUGAGAUCCAAGGACACCCUCUGCCUCGGGCCCUGAAAAGUAUGAACAAAAGAGAAUUGGGGGGAAGCAAACUGGGGGCAUGUGACCUCAUCACCUGAAGCUGUAAUUGUGGGAUUAACCACUGAUGUACUAAUAGACCAAAUUUAUAUCUGUCUAAAAAUCUCAUGACCAUCAUCCAUCUUGGAUGUAGCCCCUUGGGGAGGCCUUGUCUGCCCUUAAUGUACCUGAAAGCCCUUCAUUAAAUAUAACUG